UACGUAGGGGGCAAGCGUUGUCCGGAUUUAUUGGGCGUAAAGAGCGUGUAGGCGGCUAGAUAGGUCCGUUGUGAAAACUCGAGGCUCAACCUCGAGACGUCGAUGGAAACCAUCUGGCUAGAGUCCGGAAGAGGAGAGUGGAAUUCCUGGUGUAGCGGUGAAAUGCGCAGAUAUCAGGAAGAACACCGGUGGCGAAGGCGGCCUGCUGGGCAGUAGCUGACGCUGAUGCGCGACAGCGUGGGGAGCAAACAGG
rnacentral:rRNA from 1 species